rnacentral:hammerhead_ribozyme from 1 species
AUCCAGCUGACGUGUCCCGAAUGGGUCGAAACGUUCGUCCUGGAU